CAGCCGCCACGGUAACACGUAGGGUGCGAGCGUUAAUCGGAAUUGCUGGGCGUAAAGCGUGCGCAGGCGGUUCGUUAAGACGGAUGUGAAAUCCCCGGGCUUAACCUGGAACUGCAUUUGUGACUGGCGAGCUAGAGUAUGGCAGAGGGGUGUAGAAUUCCACGUGUAGCAGUGAAAUGCGUAGAGAUGUGGAGGAAUACCGAUGGCGAAGGCAGCCCCCUGGGCCAAUACUGACGCUCAUGCACGAAAGCGUGGGGAGCAAACAGGAUUAGAUACCCCCGUAGUCCCUGUCUCUUAUACC
rnacentral:rRNA from 1 species